rnacentral:rRNA from 1 species
GCAGUCGCCGCGGGAAUACGUAGGGUGCAAGCGUUAAUCGGAAUUACUGGGCGUAAAGCGUGCGCAGGCGGUUAUAUAAGACAGAUGUGAAAUCCCCGGGCUCAACCUGGGAACUGCAUUUGUGACUGUAUAGCUAGAGUACGGCAGAGGGGGAUGGAAUUCCGCGUGUAGCAGUGAAAUGCGUAGAUAUGCGGAGGAACACCGAUGGCGAAGGCAAUCCCCUGGGCCUGUACUGACGCUCAUGCACGAAAGCGUGGGGAGCAAACAGGAUUAGAUACCCGAGUAGUCCCUGUCUCUUAUAC